UAACACCAGCUCCUCGAGUGGUGGGGAUGUUUAUUGGGCCUAAAGCGUCCGUAGCCGGCCCGGUAAGCCCUUCGUUAAAUCCAGCGUCCCAAGCGUUGGGCUGCGAGGGAGACUAUCGGGCUAGAGGGUGGGAGAGGUCAGCGGUAUUCCUGGGGUAGGGGCGAAAUCCUUUGAUCCCAGGAGGACCACCAGUGGCGAAGGCUGCUGACUAGAACACGCCUGACGGUCAGGGACGAAAGCUGGGGUAGCGAAUCGGAUUAGAUACCCGAGUAGUCCCAGCCGUAAACGAUGCAGGCUAGGUGUUGGGGCGGCCACGCGCCGCCUCAGUGCCACAGGGAAGCCGUUAAGCCUGCCGCCUGGGGAGUACGGCCGCAAGGCUGAAACUUAAAGGAAUUGGCGGGGGAGCACCACCAGGCGUGAAGCCUGCGGUUU
rnacentral:rRNA from 1 species